rnacentral:sRNA from 1 species
GCUAGGGGUGAUGGUACUCACCUGUAGUCCCAGCUACUCAGGGGGCUGAGGCAGGAGGAUCACUUGAGUCCUGGAGUUCAAGGCCAACCUAAGAAAUAUAGUCAGACCCUGUCUCUA